GCUACAUGAAGGAAACGCAAUAAAUAGUAUGGAACAUAUAGUUUAACUGGCUUCAAGCUCAGCAAGAGCCAAGAAAGACAAUUUCUUCCCUAAUAGGUUCUCAUGUUGGGUGGCCAUUACUAGAGUCAUAUGGCUCUCUAAACAGAAGAUUUAGCCAAUUCAGCAGAGGAUAAAAUUAAAAGGGAUGACAGAAUUGAUCGGUAGGAUCAUCAUGAUACUCAC
rnacentral:misc_RNA from 1 species